rnacentral:rRNA from 1 species
GACAGAGGAUGCAAGCGUUAUCCGGAAUGAUUGGGCGUAAAGCGUCUGUAGGUGGCUUUUUAAGUCCGCCGUCAAAUCCCAGGGCUCAACCCUGGACAGGCGGUGGAAACUACCAAGCUGGAGUACGGUAGGGGCAGAGGGAAUUUCCAGUGGAGCGGUGAAAUGCGUAGAGAUUGGAAAGAACACCAAUGGCGAAAGCACUUUACUGGGCUAUUACUGACACUGAGAGACGAAAGCUAGGGGAGCAAAUGGG